rnacentral:tRNA from 1 species
UCCUUCAUAGCUCUGUCGGUAAAUCAUCUGCCUGCAAUGCAGGAGACCCAGGUUCAACUCCUGGGUCAAAGAG